rfam:Myotis brandtii contig234305, whole genome shotgun sequence.
GGCGGUUUUCUGGUGACACACCCCAGAAUCGGGCUCCCUCCUCUCUGGUUCCAAGUGCAUCACUUGAGAACUGCC